UACGUAGGGGGCAAGCGUUGUCCGGAAUCAUUGGGCGUAAAGCGCGUGUAGGCGGCCAGAAAAGUCCGCUGUGAAAACUCGAGGCUCAACUUCGAGCUGUCGGUGGAAACUUUCUGGCUAGAGUCCGGGAGAGGAGAAUGGAAUUCCUGGUGUAGCGGUGAAAUGCGCAGAUAUCAGGAAGAACACCCGUGGCGAAGGCGGUUCUCUGGGACGGUACUGACGCUGAGACGCGAAAGCGUGGGGAGCGAACAGG
rnacentral:rRNA from 1 species